CGGGGUGAGUAAUGUCUGGGAAACUGCCUGAUGGAGGGGGAUAACUGCUGGAAACGGUAGCUAAUACCGCAUAACGUCGCAAGACCAAAGAGGGGGACCUUCGGGCCUCUCGCCAUCGGAUGUGCCCAGAUGGGAUUAGCUAGUAGGUGGGGUAACGGCUCACCUAGGCGACGAUCCCUAGCUGGUCUGAGAGGAUGGCCAGCCACACUGGAACUGAGACACGGUCCAG
rnacentral:rRNA from 1 species